rnacentral:rRNA from 1 species
AGCGUCCUACGGGAGGCAGCAGUAGGGAAUUUUCGUCAAUGGGCGCAAGCCUGAACGAGCAAUGCCGCGUGAACGAGGAAGGUCUUCGGAUCGUAAAGUUCUGUUGAAGGGGAAAAAGAGCGGAGAGAGGAAAUGAACUCCGAUUGAUAUUACCCUUCGAGGAAGUCACGGCUAACUACGUGCCAGCAGCCGCGGUAAUACGUAGGUGGCGAGCGUUAUCCGGAAUGAUUGGGCGUAAAGGGUGCGUAGGCGGCCUGCUAAGUCUGGAGUGAAAGGUACCGACUCAACAGGUACAGGCUCUGGAA